GAUCUUGUGGUGAAGUGGUUAUCACAGAUGUCUAGCACACAAAAGGUCGGGGGUUCGAGUCCGCCGGAGAUCA